rnacentral:rRNA from 1 species
GAUGAACGCUGGCGGCGUGCCUAAUACAUGCAAGUCGAGCGAACAGACGAGGAGCUUGCUCCUCUGACGUUAGCGGCGGACGGGUGAGUAACACGUGGAUAACCUACCUAUAAGACUGGGAUAACUUCGGGAAACCGGAGCUAAUACCGGAUAAUAUAUUGAACCGCAUGGUUCAAUAGUGAAAGACGGUUUUGCUGUCACUUAUAGAUGGAUCCGCGCCGCAUUAGCUAGUUGGUAAGGUAACGGCUUACCAAGGCAACGAUGCGUAGCCGACCUGAGAGGGUGAUCGGCCACACUGGAACUGAGACACGGUCCAGACUCCUACGGGAGGCAGCGUUAGGGAAUCUUCCGCAAUGGGCGAAAGCUUGACGGAGCAACGCCGCGUGAGUGAUGAAGGUCUUCGGAUCGUAAAACUCUGUUAUUAGGGAAGAACAAAUGUGUAAGUAACUAUGCACGUCUUGACGGUACCUAAUCAGAAAGCCACGGCUAACUACGUG